GGGGAUGUGGUCAAGGGGUAUGACAAGCGAUCCGCAUUAUGUGAAUAACAUAAAAGAUCGCUUUCGCUUAGCCUGGGUUCGAGUCCCAGCUUCUCCA
rnacentral:tRNA from 1 species